CUCCAGUGGGUGGACUUCUGUGGUCUAAGUGUUCUCCAGUUGGUCUGCAAAUAGUAGUUACACACAGGAACUCUAGAAGUUCCUGACAACCAUGAGUCAAAGAAGAUCAUCUGAGCGAUGUCAUGGAGGACGGCAGAGUAGGGCCCUCUGAGAAUCAGUACCUCCACUGAAGCUACCAAUAAGCUGGCAAAAUAACGGCAGAAUCAACGUCUUUGGAAUGCUGGAUUCAAAUCAGAUACUUACAGAAACCAGGGGAAAGAUGCUGGGAAAACUUGCUCCAGCCACUUCCAGGAGGCACGAAUCAAAAGCAUUUAAAGACUAUCCAUGCUAUCCAUGGGCAGAUGGGGCAAGCAGCAGACAGAACCAACAACCUAGAUGGGAGGAGGCUAUGGAGGAGGGUCCUUGGGGGAACAAGGGCUUCAGAGGGCUGCCUAGUGCAUUUGCACGCCAAACCCUGACGCGAGCUCAGAAGAGAACUGACAACACUGAGACUCACAGCACUCCUUGGGCUCCAAGGUGAAAGCUGGAGUGGAGUCGCAGGCAGCCCGGCUGAGCACUGAAGGAGCACCCCAAAACCAACCUGCAAAGUGCGGGAGGAGAUCUUUUUGGUGCUGGGUGUUUAAGGAAAUCUCGGUAACUAUAUAAAUAAAUCUUGGUAUGUUACUCCUCUUUUUGUUUAUAUGAUUUAAAAGACAAGUGCAUAAAACUAAUUAUAAAUCUAAUGUUAAUGGGGAUACAGUAUUCUAAGAUGUAACUUGUGAUGGCAACAAUAACAGCAUCAAGUGGGAGAGAGGACAGAGCUGUACAGGAGCAGGGUUUUUGCGAAGCUGUUGGAACCAGUAUCAAUUCAGGAUAUUAAUUAUAGUCAUCAGAAUAACCACUAAGAAAAAACUUAAAAACACAGAAAAGGAAACAAGGUGGGAAUUGAAAUGAUACAUUAGCAAAACCAAAUCAAACAAAAGGAAACAGUUUUGGAAGAAAUUGGGGGGAAAAGAUGAAACUCGUAGAAAACAAAUGGAAAUAAGAUAGAAAUAGGUACUCCCUAAUUUAGAAGUUGCUUUAUAUUUAAGCAGAUUAAAUUCACCAGAGGUACUGGCAACAUGGAUUAUAAAAGCAUAAGCCAAUUAUACACUAUCUACAAGCGACUCAUUUUAGAGCCAAAGUCACAAACAGAUUGAAAGUACGGAAACAUGUUUUCCAUGCAUUAAUAACCAGUAGAAAGCUGGCAUGAUAUGUAUAUAGCUGAUUCACUUUGUUAUACAGCAGAAACUAACAAACACACCAUUGUAAAGCAAUUAUACUCUAAUAAAGAUGUUUAAAAAAAUAAUAAAAUAAAAUGAAAACAAAACAAAAAAAGAAAGCUGGCAUGGCUACUAGUAUCAGGAAAUAGACUCUUAAGUCACAACUUGUUACAGGAGACCAAAAAGGGGCAUUAUAUACUGAUAAAGUCAAUCCAUCAAAAAGACAUCACAAUUAUAAAGAUACACACACCAAACAGCAGGGCCCACCCCCACCCAAAUACAGGAAGCAAAGCUUGACAACUGAAGGGAGAAACAGACCUACAUUAACAGCUGAAGACCUCAACACCCCAAUUUCAAUAAUGGGCACACAGAACAUCUAGACAGAAGAAUAAGGAAACAGAGGACCUGAACCCCACAUACCAGCCAGACCUAACAGACACGCACAGAACACUCCACCCACGACCACAGAGCACACUCCUCUCAGUGCGCUGGAACAUUCUCCAGGAUAGACACGUUAGGCCACCAAACAAGUCUCCAGAGAUUAAAAUCUUACGAAAUAUCUUCUCUAACCAAAUGCAAUAAAGCUAGAGAUCCAUAAAGAAGGAAAAGUGAAAGAUUCCAAAUAUGUGGAAAUUAAACAACGUAGUCUUAAGACAACCAAAUCAAAAAUGAAAUCACGAGGAAAAUUAGAAAACACUUUGAGACAAAGGAAAACAAAAACACAGCAUACCAAAAUUUAAGGAAUGUAGUAAAAACAAUGGUCAGACUUGUUGACAAAAAUUCAAUUAACAAUCAAAUGAAGAAAGAAAAAAGGGAAUUUUAUUCAAGCCAAACUGAGGAUUCUGAGAACUGUUCCACCUGUUUAGAAGUCCAAGGCACAGUCAGACAUUUUUGAGACGAAGGAUCGUGUAUAUAACAAUGACAUACUGGUAUUUUAUAGAAACGUCACCACAAUACAUAGUCCAGGUAAGCACGUACAAAGGAGCAGCAUGUCACCGUGACCCCAACAGAGCUGGGAAAGACUGCUAUUCUUUCAGGAAGUUACACUGCUAGCAUCAGAAGGAAAGGAAACAGUGAUCUUUGUGGUUGAGCGGCCGCUCCGCCUUUGAGGAGCUCUGGUUAAUGUGCAAUGCGACGCACACUGCACACUAGGGGGGCACGGAGGAGACCCGGACACACACACAAGAAGAAUUUUUAAAUCUUUCUUGUCCUGCCUUAAAAUAUAAAUUUCAUUUCACCACACUUUAGUGCCUACAUUAAAAAAGAAAGAUUGCAAAUGAGUAACCUAACGCUACGCCUUUAGGAACUAAGGAAAGGAAGAGCAAACUCAACGCCAGUAAACUGAGAAAAUAGUCAAGAUUAGAAGCACAGAUAAAACAGAGCACAGAAAAAGAGAUGCAACAAAACCAAACACUGGUGCCUUGAAGAGCUCAACAAAAUUGACACACCUCUUUCCAGACUGAUUGAGAAAAAAAAAGAAAAAAAAAAACUCAAAUAACUAAUAUCAAAAAUGAAAGUGGGGGGCUUCCCUGGUGGCG